rnacentral:rRNA from 1 species
AUGGCUCAGAUGAACGCUGGCGGCAGGCCUAACACAUGCAAGUCGAACGGUAGCACAGAGAGCUUGCUCUCGGGUGACGAGUGGCGGACGGGUGAGUAAUGUCUGGGAAACUGCCUGAUGAGGGGGAUAACUACUGGAAACGGUAGCUAAUACCGCAUAACGUCGCAAGACCAAAGAGGGGGACCUUCGGGCCUCUUGCCAUCAGAUGUGCCCAGAUGGGAUUAGCUAGUAGGUGGGGUAACGGCUCACCUAGGCGACGAUCCCUAGCUGGUCUGAGAGGAUGACCAGCCACACUGGAACUGAGACACGGUCCAGACUCCUACGGGAGGCAGCAGUGGGGAAUAUUGCACAAUGGGCGCAAGCCUGCUGCAGCCAUGCCGCCGUGUAUGAAGGAGGCCUUCGGGUUGUAAAGUACUUUCAGCGGGGAGGAAGGUGUUGUGGUUAAUAACCGCAGCAAUUGACGUUACCCGCAGAAGAAGCACCGGCUAACUCCGUGCCAGCCGCGGC